UCAGCCUUGAGAAGCGUAGGAGGAGAGGUCUGGCCAAACCUCUAUCCUAAGAUAUAUCCAUCUCUUUCCUCUCCUGGUAACUGGAUAUUCCCCCCUCCCAGUUCCCAAACUAAAGGAACAUCUGAAGAAGACAUUUUGAGCCUUUCUCAAAACUUUACCUCACAGCUCCUGGUGCCCUGCAUCUGAACUGUGUCCAGGGGCCAAAGACCAGGAUGUAGCUUAACACAAAAUGUGGGGGAAUACAACCUUUACAAGAAAGGGAACAUGGAGCACUGCAAAACAAUUUAGGGUUGGUGAAAGAGCUGCAACCCAAGGUUUUUCCAGUAAUAUACCAAAAGCAAAAUGUGAUAUUGGAUGGGCAUGAAUAGUAGAUCCAGGGAUAUGCUGGAGCCAGAUCUAAGCAACUUCUUAGAGCAAUUGUUAAAUUUCUAAUAUGAGCAUGUACAUCUCAGAUAACAACAAUCACUAAAAAUCAAGGAUAAUUUUUUUGUUGAUUGUCUAGACUAAAGAAAAUGUUAAUAAUGCAGUUUAAACUAAAAAAAAAAUGUGAUUACAUUUUUUCCCUGAAGGUACUAGUUGUUAAAAUAUUUAUCCAGAGUAAUGUAGCUAGUAAAGAUCUAAGGCUGGAUUUGAAUCCAGGUCUUCCUAACUUCAGGCCCAACACUCUAUCCAUUGAUCCACUAAUUGCUUCUAAUAUAAUUAUGUAGAGCUUUAUGGUUUACAAAGUACUUAGCAUCCAUUUUCUCAUUUCAACUUCACAAGGCCCCUGGUUAGCUCAUUCCAGAAGCAAGUUCCAAAAGGAGGCAGGAGAUCAAAUGAUUACAGCUCUCCAUAAAGAUGUUAAUCUGUGAGAAAUAGGUAUCGUUCGUUCUUCUGACCAGGGGAAAAGAAAAGCACAUGAUGAUACUAAGGAUUUUUGAGGAACAUACUUUAGAAAGUGCACAUUGAACAACUUCAACUAAUGCAAUAAAGCAAGAAGUUGCCAUUAUCAUCUGAAAUUGUAAUUACAUAUCUAGACAUUGGUUUCAAACUAGCCUACUUUUUGAAAAUUUUAUAAUGGACAUCAUGGAAGAGAAUU